CUACUGCAGUAGAAUGUGUACUAGCCCUGCUCCUGUAGUAGAAGGUAUACUAGCCCUGCUCCUGUAGUAGAAGGUAUACUAGCCCUGCUCCUGCAGUAGAAGGUGUACUAACCCUGCUCCUGCAGUAGGUGUACUAGCCCUGUAGAAGGUUUUCUAGCCCUGCUCCUGCAAUAGGUGUACUAGUCCUGCUCCUGUGGUAGAAUGUUUACUAGCCCUGUAGAAGGUGAAUUAGCCCUGCUUCUGUAGUAGAAUGUGUAGCAGCCCUGCUCCUGCAGUAGAAGGUAUACUAGUCCUGCUCCUGCAGUAGAAUGUGUACUAGCCCUGUAGAAGGUGAACUAGCCCUGCUCCUGUCGUAGAAUGUGUACUAGCCCUGCUCUUGUAGUAGAAUGUGUUAUAGCCCUGCUCCUGUAGUAGAAUGUGUACUAGCCCUGCUCCUGCAGUAGAAAGUAUACUAGCCCUGCUCCUGCAGUAGAAGGUAUACUAGCCCUGCUCCUGCAGUAGAAGGUGUACUAGCCCUGCUCCUGCAGUAGAAGGUGUACUAGCGCUGCUCCUGCAGUAGAAGGUGUUCUAGCCCUGCUCCUGCAGUAGAAGGUGUACUAGCCCUGCUCCUGCAGUAGAAGGUGUACUAGCCCUGCUCCUGCAGUAGGUGUACUAGCCCUGCUGCAGUAGAAGGUGUACUAGCGCUGCUCCUUCAGUAGAAGGUGUACUAGCGC
rnacentral:lncRNA from 1 species